ensembl:lncRNA
GUGCUAUAAUUAACCAGACAGGCUAUUCUCUCUCUGUUUAUAUGUAUUAGAAACUCAACCACACCUGUCCAUUAUGUCUUAGAGACUACCACACCUGUCCAUUAUGUCUUAGACUACCACAGCUGUAUACCUGUCCAUUAUGUCUUAGAGACUACCACACCUGUCCAUUAUGUCUUAGAGACUACACAACCUGUCCAUUAUGUCUUAGAGAUACCACAGCUGUAUACCUGUCCAUUAUGUCUUAGAACUACCACAGCUGUAUACCUGUCCAUUAUUGUCUUAGAGACUACCACAGCUGUAUCCUGUCCAUUAUGUCUUAGAGACUACCACCAGCUGUAUACCUGUCCAUUAUGUCUUAGAGACUACCACAGCUGUAUACCUGUCAAUUAUGUCUUAGAGACUAACACAGCUGUAUACCUGUCCAUUAUGUCUUAGAGACUACCACAGUGUAUACCUGUCCAUUAUGUCUUAGAGACUACCACAGCUGUAUACCUGUCCAUUAUGUCUUAGAGACUACCACAGCUGUAUACCAAGGGAAAUAGUUCUCGAACAUGUUUUUGUGUGUUAGCCGGUGAACAUUCAUAACUUUAGCUCUGAGAUGGUCAUGUUUUCCAACACAGACCUCAACAAGAUAAAUAUUUCACUAACGUUAGUUAACAGUCUGAGAAGGUAGGUUUCUGUUUCAGGUCUUAAACUACCUCUACUAAUCCUCAUGUGUCCAUGUAGGUUUUCUAUUACACGAAGAAGGAAUAACAGUGACAUUAGUAGUUGGACUAUUGAAACGCUGAAACGCCACAGUUAAUCCUGAAAAGAUCACACUUUUUGACGCGUCAAAGUACCUCAGUUUCAGGUGUAGUCAUAGACAUCACAGGGGACUUAGUAACAGCGUUGUCUGGUUUUGGUGGUGGCUGAGGAUCAGGUUUAGUCAUAGACAUCAUAGGGGACUUAGUAACAGCGUUGUGUCUGGUUUUGGUGGUGGCUGAGGAUCAGGUUUAGUCACAUACAUCAUAGGGGACUUAGUAACAGCGUUGUGUCUGGUUUUGGUGGUGGCUGAUGAUUGGCUGAUGAAACAUGUCAAACAGCUGAGGUCGACAAAGUGCUUGUUUGUCAAAAAAAAAACUUCCAGAGAAUUAAGGAUUUAUCAACGUCUGCAAUAAAGAGUGUGUGUGUGUGUGUUUGUGUGUGUGUCUGUGUGUGUGUGUGUGUGUGUGUGUGUGUGUGUGUGUGUGUGUGUCUGUGUGUUUUGGUUCAAGUUCACAGCAGGGCAUCUGUGUCGGAGACAACUUUAACCUCUGACACUGGAAGGCCUGGAGAACUGUUCAGACGGCUCUCUGCUCCGUGACCCCAUGGAGGGAGAACAUUCUUUCUCGUCAAACACACACACACACACCACACACACACACACACACACACACACACACACAACCACACCACACACCACACACACACACCACACACAAACACACACGACACACAACGCUGUGCAGAGGGAGGGAUAUAAAAUAGAGUUUUGCUCUUUCUCUUUCGUUAAUCUGUUUCUUCUAGGAACAAGAUAGUACCAUGAUUCUUCACUAGGGAUUCCAGAAUCCUGCUUAUUCCUAGGCUUCCUGCUUAUUACUGGUUGGAUCCUAGGGGCUUCCCUGCU